GUAGUGAGUCAUGUUGUUUUUUGUAUGUUUAGAUGAGGUAAGCUUAAGCCUACUGACUUCUGAAAUGACUGCAUGAAUGAUUUGUCCCAAGCUUUCUUACAGUAGGCUACUGACCUCAGAAAUAAUUCAUGGCGUUGUGAACCUGCUGAUGUAUUCAUUUGCACUCAUGUAGUAAUUUACUGUCAUGAAAGCUAAAUUGUGACUUGACUUUUUCCUCUCUCAGUUGUUGGCUCAUGACAGAUUUAUUUGAUAAGUGGAAGUGCCCGCUGAUGCAGACCCAGUGUAAGUAUACAUGCUGGCAUUGUUUUUGUGACAUUUAAUCUCAUCUAAAUCAUCAUGUUUUUGAACAGUGUUGGGUAGCCAGCCACCCAUGCAUGUUGACACAGCCAGCAGCGGGCACCCAUGGCACAUGGGGAUGGACCCAGGAGUGGAGGAUGACCCAAUAGGAUGAACGUUCAGCCCACUCACUGUUGACACAAGUGACACAGUAUUGACCAGAUCUCCUGGAAGUGCCCCCUGACGCAGACCCAGUUGUUGGGUAGCCACCCAUGCAUGUUGACACAGCCAGCACCGAGCACCCAGGGGGAUGGAACUAGGAAUGGAGGAUGGCCCAAUAGGGUGAGUUGCUGAGCCAAUGUCAGAAACAUGUAGACUAUACCCUACCCUCAUAUGUAAACCUUCGCUAGUCUGUUUCUCCCUUAAUAUUGGUGUCAGAUUCACACAAAUGCAGUUCUGGGGUGCUACCUUGCUACUAAACAGGCAC